rnacentral:ncRNA from 1 species
UCAAAUGCGAUGAAGAGAUGAGUAAAUAAAUGAAUUCUUUCACAGAGAGCUCCGUUAGCUGAAAAGGAGUAAGAGUUCCUUAUUGAACAAAGACUUAGAGCAGCACAUCGGAACCGAGUUAUGGGGAUGGUGUGACAGGAGCUCCUGUUACAGAGCUAGAGUAUAAGCAUGCGCUUGCAUAGCCGUACUUGAAGAGGUUGAUAUGGCGACAUAUUGACGAAUCUGGGGUGGUACCACGAGCAUAAUAAUCUCGUCCCUAAG